UGCUUAAUUGCCUCUUGCUGGUAUUACCAAUCUAUAUUUAAUGAUAUCUAUAAAAUAUUUUGUCGCUAAUAUUUAUUAUUGCGAUACAUUUUUAAUGUGGUAAUGUAUUAUAAUAUAUACCGUUUGUCCCAAAAAUAGUAAAUUUUCAGGACUUACAUUUUCUUAUGCUGAAUUAAUUUUAUUUAACUAUCUUUAAAACUAUUCAUAAUAUCUUUAAAUUUUACUAUCUUUAAUUAAUUUUGAAUUGUAGUUACUAUCGUUGUAUUCUUUAUUCUUCGCCCGCUGUGAAUUUCUCUCUUUUUCCUUUUACAACUAUCCUCUCAGAUUUUACAACUAUCCUCUCGUUGGUAAUCAUGCCUCUCCCUUUCAAUCCCAACCACCUAAAAACAGAGGAAUUGGCCUAUGAACUCACCAUUAGAGGUUCUACAGUGCCCGAAAAUGUUGCGGAGCGUAGGAAAUCACUGAGAGGGAAAUCACCGUCAGCUUAUUUUUAGUUAUAAAUACAAUGCUUUAUUCUUUCUCUUCGAAUGAAGGUAUCUGCAGCAAAAAUUCAGAGAACAAGGCUUAACUAGCUAGUUAGCGUCAUUUCUUAUUAGACAGUUGAAUUUUAUAGUACAGCUAUUAGCAACAAUUUUUUAUUGCUGGUCCAAAUAUUUAUAUUUAACUUUAAUAACUUGAUUUGUGCUAAAUAUUCUCUCUCUCUCUCUCUCUCUCUCUCUCUCUCUCUCUCUCUCUCUCUCUCUCUCUCUCUUUCUCUCUCUUUCUCUAUCUCUCUUUCAAAUCAACUAUUUCUUCUUCUUGUUUUCUUUUUAAUAUUAUCUUAAAUAUAAAAACCCUACUUAUUCAUUCUUCUUCUGCUUCUUCUUCUUUUCACCUUUCGAGUUUUUUAUCAACAUUUUUUUUUCUGCCAUUCUUACUUGUCAUCCUUCUUCUGAUUCACAUUUUUUUACAACUAUUUAUUUUUUUUGAAAAAAAUUUUUUCAAGUCACUGAAAAAAUUUUCCGGUACCUUGGGGGGUGUGUAACGUUUCAAUCAGCCGAUUGAACGCUACACCAAGCUCCGCUUGGUAUUUGUCCCUCGGACUAUAUAUUUCUAUAAGCGACCCUACUAUCAUCAAAUCAAUUAGUACAUCUCUUCGAAGGUAUUUAAUCCGAUACAAAUUUGUACUUGCUUCUUUUGCCAUUGCCACGUAAAUCAGGCACAAUAUUGGCAUACAUUAUCGUGUUUGUGUGUAGGCCGUUAAACAAUGGCCCCUACCUCGGGAAGAAGACUUUAAUCAAGCACUACCUGGAAAAGAAAACACAUUACCUUGAAGAGCAGAACUGGCUUAAAACCGUAUCCUGAUGCAUCAGUAGAAUGAAUUAGACAAGGCAGCCCUACAGAGACAAGACAGCCCAAUAAGGUAGCCCUCGACUUCCCCUAACUGCUGGCGACGACAAAUUCUGCAGGGAUUGGGGACCUCCUUUAGGAACUGUGACGGAAAGACUUAAAGCUGAGUAAAUUUUUAUCUUUAUAACUUUUGUAUCGAUUACCAGCAGGGUCUCGGUCACGGGCUCAGAAAAUUAACUUGGUUGUCUGUAUACAAUAAAAUGAUUUUUGUUAAGUUUUUUUUAUAUCUAAAUAAAUAGUGCAUUUAAAAUGA